rnacentral:rRNA from 1 species
GGAGGAAAGUAGGGGAUCGCAAGACCUCAUGCUCGUGGAGCGGCCGAUAUCUGAUUAGCUAGUUGGUAGGGUAAAAGCCUACCAAGGCAUCGAUCAGUAGCUGGUCUGAGAGGACGACCAGCCACACUGGAACUGAGACACGAUCCAGACUCCUACGGGAGGCAGCAGUGGGGAAUUUUGGACAAUGGGCGAAAGCCUGAUCCAGCAAUGCCGCGUGAGUGAAGAAGGCCUUCGGGUUGUAAAGCUCUUUUGUCAGGGAAGAAACGGUGAAAGCUAAUAUCUUUUGCUAAUGACGGUACCUGAAGAAUAAGCACCGGCUAACUACGUGCCAGCAGCCGCGGUAAUACGUAGGGUGCAAGCGUUAAUCGGAAUUACUGGGCGUAAAGCGUGCGCAGGCGGUUUUGUAAGUCUGAUGUGAAAUCCCCGGGCUCAACCUGGGAAUUGCGUUUGAAACUACAAGGCUAG